AGCAUAAAAGAGUACAUAAAAAUUAAUAUAUUAGUUAGUUGGUUGAUUUAACAAUGAAUAAUCAGUUCUCUGAAAGUAAAUCUGGAGAUUUUGGUCUGACUCCGAUACCAAAUCACCGAGUAACUUUAGAUAUUUCAAUUAUCGCACUCAAAAUUUUCGGUUAUUUUACUUACGACCGGCCAUUUCUUCGUCUUCGUAUUUUUAAUAUAUUUUGUUUAAUCGUCAACUGGGGUAUCGGGCUGAUCUAUUGUCUUUCAAACGCUACUGAUAUUGUUGUUAAUUAUAAUAAUCUUGAGGAUGUUUCCAAUAACUUGGGAUAUCUUGCUCCGAUGAUCACAACUUAUGC